UACGGAGGGUGCAAGCGUUGUCCGGAUUUAUUGGGUUUAAAGGGUGCGUAGGUGGGCAGGUAAGUCAGUGGUGAAAUCUCCGGGCUUAACCCGGAAACUGCCAUUGAUACUAUUUGUCUUGAAUACCGUGGAGGUCAGCGGAAUAUGUCAUGUAGCGGUGAAAUGCUUAGAUAUGACAUAGAACACCAAUUGCGAAGGCAGCUGGCUACACGAAUAUUGACACUGAUGCACGAAAGCGUGGGGAUCAAACAGG
rnacentral:rRNA from 1 species